AUUGAACGCUGGCGGCAUGCCUUACACAUGCAAGUCGAACGGCAGCAUGGAGAGCUUGCUCUCUGAUGGCGAGUGGCGAACGGGUGAGUAAAGCAUCGGAACGUACCGUGUAAUGGGGGAUAACGUAGCGAAAGUUACGCUAAUACCGCAUACGACCUGAGGGUGAAAGCAGGGGAUCGCAAGACCUUGCGUUAUACGAGCGGCCGAUGUCAGAUUAGCUAGUUGGUGAGGUAAAGGCUCACCAAGGCGACGAUCUGUAGCGGGUCUGAGAGGAUGAUCCGCCACACUGGGACUGAGACACGGCCCAGACUCCUACGGGAGGCAGCAGUGGGGAAUUUUGGACAAUGGGGGCAACCCUGAUCCAGCCAUGCCGCGUGAGUGAAGAAGGCCUUCGGGUUGUAAAGCUCUUUCGGCCGGGAAGAAAUCGCACAGGCUAUUACUCUGUGUGGAUGACGGUACCGGCAUAAGAAGCACCGGCUAACUACGUGCCAGCAGCCGCAGUAA
rnacentral:rRNA from 1 species